GAUGAACGCUAGCGGGAGGCCUAACACAUGCAAGUCGAACGGGAUUGAGAGCUUGCUCUCAUGAGAGUGGCGCACGGGUGAGUAACGCGUAUGCAACUUGCCUUUAACAGAUGGAUAGCCCAUAGAAAUGUGGAUUAAUACCUCAUAGUUCAGAGAGAUCGCAUGAUUUUUCAGGUAAAGCUCCGGAGGUUAAAGGUGGGCAUGGGUGACAUUGGCGAGUUGGUGAGGUAACGGCCCACCAAGGCGACGAUGUCUAGGGGUUCUGAGAGGAUGGUCCCCCACACUGGUACUGAGACACGGACCAGACUCCUACGGGAGGCAGCAGUGAGGAAUAUUGGUCAAUGGGCGCAAGCCUGAACCAGCCAUCCCGCGCGCAGGAUGACGGCCCUAUGGGUUGUAAACUGCUUUUAUACACCAAGAAAAAUCCGAACGUGUUCGGACCCGACGGUAGUGUAUGAAUAAGCAUCGGCUAACUCCGUGCCAGCCGCCGCAGUAAGAC
rnacentral:rRNA from 1 species